AACGAACGCUGGCGGCAUGCCUAAUACAUGCAAGUCGAACGAUAUCUUCCAGCUUGCUGGAAGAGACAGUGGCGCACGGGUGCGUAACGCGUAUGCAACCUACCUUUAUCAGGGGGAUAGCCCGGAUAAAUCCGGAUUAAUACCGCAUAACAUCAUUGGAUAGCAUUAUUUUAUGAUCAAACAUUUAUGGGAUAAAGAUGGGCAUGCGUGUCAUUAGCUAGUUGGCGGGGUAACGGCCUACCAAGGCGACGAUGACUAGGGGAUCUGAGAGGAUGGUCCCCCACACUGGUACUGAGACCCUGACCAGCCUCCUACGGGAGGCAGCAGUAAGGAAUAUUGGUCAAUGGAGGGAACUCUGAACCAGCCAUGCCGCGUGCAGGAAGACUGCCCUAUGGGUUGUAAACUGCUUUUAUCCGGGAAUAAACCUGAGUACGUGUACUUAGCUGAAUGUACCGGAAGAAUAAGGAUCGGCUAACUCCGUGCCAGCAGCCGCAGUAACAC
rnacentral:rRNA from 1 species